ACUUCAACUUUGUGUCAAGUCCC
rnacentral:siRNA from 1 species